rnacentral:ncRNA from 2 species
CACGUGCUCCGGGGUCGGUGAAAUUCCGAGCCGGCGGUGAUAGUCCGCGACCCGUUGUCCUCGCUCGCGAGUUCACGGUGGAUCCGGUGAAAGUCCGGAACCGACGGUGAAAGUCCGGAUGGGAGGCGCACGUG